rnacentral:lncRNA from 1 species
UCACUUGUGAAUACUAAUACAGUGAUUCUUAACACUUUGUAGAGGAAUUCUGAAGCCCUUAUUUUUAAUUUUUUUAAGAUUUAUUUAUUUAUUAUAUGUAAGUACACUGUAGCUGUCUUCAGAUACCAGAAGAAGGCAUCAGAUCUCAUUACAGGUGGUUGUGAGCCACCAUGUGGUUGCUGGGAUUUGAACUCAAGACUUUUGGAAGAGUAGUCAGUGCUCUUACCCACUGAGCCAUCUUGCUAGCCCCUGAAACACUUUUAAAAGAACAGCAUGCCACUACUGAGCUGGCGUUCUAUCAAAAAAGCAAGCACGACUGAAUAAGAAUGACUGUUAUUAUAAUUAAAUAUGUUGACAAAUCAAAGCAGGAAACAUACGGUUGUCUAUAAAGAGACUGGAAAAGCACUUUUUGUAAGUUCAUCAUCUCGUAAUUUUUUUUACAAGACUUUCCGAGGUAAAUAGGAGUUGACGGAUAGUUUCUAAAUAUUUUAUGUCAAAAUUCACCAUGAUGCUUAAUGGAAAGUUACUGGAACAUUCUUAUUAAAGUUCAGGAAAAUAAUUCUAGAGAUACAGUAAGGGUGACUGAGUAAGAAAAAGACAUAGGAAGUUUAAAAGUGAGAAAGGAGGAAAUUUACUUAAACAGUAAAUUCAAGGCAAGUUGCAUCUUAUGAACAGUAGGCUGUUUUGAAUGAUUUCUGAGAAGAGAGGAAUCCUUGAAAAAUAUCUGACAACCACGUUGCUUAUUGUAUAGUUACUUUCUUCAUUGCUGUGACAAAAUAUCUGAUAACAAGCAACUUACAAAGAAGGUUGGGCUGGAAACAUGGCUGAGUGGCUGAGCCUGUGCAAGGCUUGGUUCUCAGCACCAAGGCUGGUCAGGCAGUUCACAACUUCCUGUAACACCAGAAACAGUCACCUGCACUCAUGUGCAUACACUCAUAGACUCUCAUAGACAGACACACAUACACACACUCACACACACACACACACACACACACACACACACUCAUAAACUCUCAUAGGCAGACACACACACUCAUAGACUCUCAUAGGCAGACACACACACUCAUAGACU